AUGAGGCUUUGGUUGUAUCUCGUUCUCACUGCAGCAUGUCUGGAAGGUGCCCGGUCCCAGGUGCAGCUGGUGGAGUCCGGAGGGGAUGUGAAAAAGCCCGGAGACUCUCUCCGCCUCUCCUGCAAAGCCUCCGGAUUCACCUUCAGCGAUUACUACAUGAGCUGGGUCCGCCAGGCCCCCGGGAAGGGGCUGGAGUGGGUCGCCCGUAUCAGCAGCGGCAGUGGGAGUAGCACAUACUACGCUGAUGCAGUUAAAGGGCGAUUCACCAUCUCCAGGGACAAUCCCAGCAACCUGCUGUACCUGCAAAUGACCGGCCUGAAGCCCGAGGACACCGCCCGCUAUUACUGUGCGAGACAAGAACCCUGGGACUGGAAGGGACCUGGAGAAGUAAUCUAG